GGCCUGUGUUGCAGUCUUUACACUGCCAGGAAGCUCUCGAGCCACCAAUGCGACCAGAAGAGGCAUAAUAAACAGUUUAAGACCCAUUUGGGUAUAUUUUUGAAGGCAAGCCCUUUGAAGGCACUUCACAUGCAAAGGGAAUUGUGCUAGAAAAAGUAGAGGUUAAACCCAAAUAGCCAGAUGCUGCCAGCAAGAAGUGUAUCAGGGUCCAGCUAACCAAGAAAUGCAAUAAAAUCACAGCUCUCAUACGCAAUGACAGUUGCUUAAACUUUACCGAGGAAAAUGAUAAAGUUCUGGUUGCUAGAUUUGGUUGCAAAAGUCAUGCUGUUGGUGACAUUCCCGGAUUUCGCUUUAAGGUUGUCAAAGUAGCUGAUGCUUCUCUUGGCCUGAUGCAAAAACAAGAAGGAAAGGCCAAAAUCAUAA
rnacentral:lncRNA from 10 species